UGGCGGACGGGUGAGUAACGCGUGAGUAACCUGCCUCUAAGAGGGGAAUAACAUUCUGAAAAGAAUGCUAAUACCGCAUAACAUAUAUUUAUCGCAUGGUAGAUAUAUCAAAGAUUUAUCGCUUAGAGAUGGACUCGCGUCCGAUUAGUUAGUUGGUGAGGUAACGGCUCACCAAGACCGCGAUCGGUAGCCGGACUGAGAGGUUGAACGGCCACAUUGGGACUGAGACACGGCCCAGACUCCUACGGGAGGCAGCAGUGGGGGAUAUUGCGCAAUGGGGGAAACCCUGACGCAGCAACGCCGCGUGAAGGAUGAAGGUCUUCGGAUUGUAAACUUCUUUUAUUAAGGACGAAGAAAGUGACGGUACUUAAUGAAUAAGCUCCGGCUAACUACGUGCCAGCAGCCGCGGUAAUACGUAGGGAGCAAGCGUUGUCCGGAUUUACUGGGUGUAAAGGGUGCAUAGGCGGCUUUGCAAGUCAGAUGUGAAAUCUAUGGGCUCAACCCAUAGCCUGCAUUUGAAACUGCAGAGCUUGAGUGAAGUAGAGGCAGGCGGAAUUCCCCGUGUAGCGGUGAAAUGCGUAGAGAUGGGGAGGAACACCAGUGGCGAAGGCGGCCUGCUGGGCUUUAACUGACGCUGAGGCACGAAAGCGUGGG
rnacentral:rRNA from 1 species